UUCAGGGGUAAACCUGAGAAACCCGAAAGGUCGAAAGGGGAGAUUCAGCGUGUCUCGAUCGUGGCGCUGGACGGUCGUGCGACGGACGGCGUACGCGUCGUUCGCGCCUUUCGUUCUCCGAACUGCGUUUCGAACGCGUGCACUUCUCCCCCUGUAGGACGUCGCGAUUCGUUGGGUGCCGGCCUAAGGCCCGAGGUGGAGUUCGUCCGGACGUUUCGGCGUUCGUGACGAACCCUCGGUGUUUCCCGGUCGGCUCGCUCGACGAUAUACAGAUGGCGCGGGGCCGCUACAUUUUUAAGUUAGCGUUCGACCUUCGGCAAGCGCGCUCCUCGCGACGGUGAUCGGACCCGGUGCCGGUCCCGUCCCCGGGCGACUGUUGGCCGAGGUGUUCUCGAACAGACCUCGUCGAAACGCCGAUCUGCGACGCUAUAGCUUUGGGUACUUUCAGGACCCGUCUU
rnacentral:rRNA from 1 species